rnacentral:rRNA from 2 species
AGAGUUUGAUCCUGGCUCAGAACGUACGCUGGCGGCACGCCUAACACAUGCAAGUCGAACGAAGUAGCAAUACUUAGUGGCAGACGGGUGAGUAACAUGUAGGUAUCUGCCCUUUGGCCUGGAAUAACACGAGGAAACUUGUGCUAAUACCGGAUAAGUCUUUACGGAGAAAGCUUUAUGCACCAUUGGAUGAGCCUGCACUUGAUUAGUUUGUUGGUGGGGUAAUGGCCUACCAAGACUGUGAUCAAUAGCUGAUUUGAGAGGAUGAUCAGCCACAUUGGGACUGAGACACGGCCCAAACUCCUACGGGAGGCAGCAGUGGGGAAUCUUGCACAAUGGAGGAAACUCUGAUGCAGCGAUGCCGCGUGAGUGAAGAAGGCCCUUGGGUUGUAAAGCUCUUUCGUCGGGGAAGAAAAUGACUGUACCCGAAUAAGAAGGUCCGGCUAACUUCGUGCCAGCAGCCGCGGUAAUACGAAGGGACCUAGCGUAGUUCGGAAUUACUGGGCUUAAAGAGUUCGUAGGUGGUUGAAAAAGUUAGUGGUGAAAUCCCAGAGCUUAACUCUGGAACUGCCAUUAAAACUUUUCAGCUAGAGUAUGAUAGAGGAAAGCAGAAUUUCUAGUGUAGAGGUGAAAUUCGUAGAUAUUAGAAAGAAUACCAAUUGCGAAGGCAGCUUUCUGGAUCAUUACUGACACUGAGGAACGAAAGCAUGGGUAGCGAAGAGGAUUAGAUACCCUCGUAGUCCAUGCCGUAAACGAUGUGUGUUAGACGUUGGAAAUUCAUUUUCAGUGUCGCAGGGAAACCGAUAAACACACCGCCUGGGGAGUACGACCGCAAGGUUAAAACUCAAAUGAAUUGACGGGGACCCGCACAAGUAGUGGAGCAUGUGGUUUAAUUCGAAGAUACGCGCAGAACCUUACCAACACUUGACAUGUUCGUCGCGACUCUAAGAGAUUAGAGUUUUCGGUUCGGCCGGACGAAACACAGGUGCUGCAUGGCUGUCGUCAGCUCGUGUCGUGAGAUGUUGGGUUAAGUCCCGCAACGAGCGCAACCCUCACUUUUAGUUGCCAUCAUUAAGUUGGGCACUCUGAAAGAACUGCCAGUGAUAAGCUGGAGGAAGGUGGGGAUGACGUCAAGUCCUCAUGGCCCUUACGUGUUGGGCUACACACGUGCUACAAUGGUAUCUACAACAGGAAGCAAGACUGCGAAGUUAAGCAAAUCCCUAAAAGAUACCUCAGUUCGGAUUGCACUCUGCAACUCGAGUGCAUGAAGCUGGAAUUACUAGUAAUCGUGGAUCAGCGUGCCACGGUGAAUGCGUUCCCGGGUCUUGUACACACCGCCCGUCACACCAUGGGAGUUGGUUCUACCUUAAGGCAAGGUUUUAAACCCUUGACCACGGUAUAGUCAGCGACUGGGGUGAAGUCGUAACAAGGUAACC